AGGAUGAACGCNAGCGACAGGCUUAACACAUGCAAGUCGAGGGGCAGCACGAUGUAGCAAUACAUUGGUGGCGACCGGCGCACGGGUGCGUAACACGUAUGCAACCUACCCAUAAGCGGGGAAUAACCCGGAGAAAUCCGGACUAAUACCGCAUAGUACGUUUGAGUGGCAUCACUUAAACUUUAAAGAUUUAUCACUUAUGGAUGGGCAUGCGCAUGAUUAGAUAGUAGGCGGGGUAACGGCCCACCUAGUCAACGAUCAUUAGGGGUUCUGAGAGGAAGGUCCCCCACAUUGGUACUGAGCCAGGAUCAAACUCU
rnacentral:rRNA from 1 species